CAGACCUCUAAUCGGAAGAGACCACCCGCUGAGUUUAA
rnacentral:rRNA from 1 species